ACCCAGAUGAUGAGUCCGAAAUGUGACGAAAUGCGCAUCCUGGAU
rfam:Trichobilharzia regenti genome assembly, scaffold: TRE_contig0041726